GCGCUCGUAGCUCAGUUGGAUAGAGCGACAGCCUCCUAAGCUGUAGGCCGCAGGUUCGAUUCCUGCCGGGCGCACCA
rnacentral:tRNA from 3 species